rnacentral:rRNA from 1 species
UACGUAGGGUGCGAGCGUUGUCCGGAAUUAUUGGGCGUAAAGAGCUUGUAGGUGGUUUGUCGCGUCUGCUGUGAAAAUCCGAGGCUCAACCUCGGACUUGCAGUGGGUACGGGCAGACUAGAGUGUGGUAGGGGAGACUGGAAUUCCGGGUGGAGCGGUGAAAUGCGUAGAGAUCCGGAGGGACACCGAAGGCGAAGGCAGUCUCCUGGCAAGUUACUGACGCUCAGGUGCGAAAGCUAGGGGAGCGAACAGG